UGAUUUGCAUGAUUCCUUUUACAGUACAGGAGAGAAUGGAAUGGACAAGCAGGUGACAUGUUGGUCAGAAUGAAGCUGGCAGAUGAAAAUGUGAACAAGAACCAUGAGAUGGUGGUAUUUCAGGGAAAUGUGGAGGAGAAGGGAUAUUGAUUUGCAUGAUUCCUUUCACAGUACAGGAGAGAAUGAACAGACAAACAGAUGACAUUCUGGUCAGAAUGAAGCUGACAAGAUGAAAAUGUGAAAAAGAACCAUGAGAUGUACAGGAGAGAAUGGAAUGGACAAGCAGGUGACAUGUUGGUCAGAAUGAAGCUGACAGAUGAAAACAGUCUACAAGAACCAUGAGAUGGCGGGUAUGUCGAAGUGAAACCUGAUGAUUCCUAGGAAGGCUGUCUUCGGCUGACUUGCAAAAAGCAUGGACACAUACCAAACUACAGGAACCACUGCCAUGUAACUGGAUUUUGCUGAGUGUAACAGGUCGGUGGAGAUGUUGGUAAAGUUCCACUAGCUAUACAUUAGAAAAUUCCACAAACAAUGUUAUGUUGGGAAAGUAACAUCAUAAUUAAAUAUGAUCAUCUGCAGUCAGUUAGUUUCAACAUUUACCAGUGGUCAUUUCCAGGAUAUUCCUAUUACUGAAUACAGGAGAUUGAUUAAAAUCUGUUCUAGUCUAUGAGGCUUGUAAACCAAGAGAAAGCCGUGCAGUGGUCAGUCAGUGUAAUACAUUGAUAAUACCUAUCUACCAGAAACCAGUUACACAGGCCAAGUCUUCCGACAUCCUUAGUUUAAGGAAAUAGGAGCAGAAAAAUAUACAGCUUUACUGUCUACCUGAAUACUGAUCUGGCAGUUUGAUACAGUAGUCAGUGAACUGCCAACUACCUGUUGAUACUAGACAUCUUGCCAGAGCAACGAGUGUCCAGGAUGCCGGUCUACCAGAGCAACGAGUGUCCAAGAUGCCGUCUACCAAAAGAAGACAGAAAAAUUCUUGAGAUGGAGCAUCAAGCAGCCAUUACGUUAACAGGAGUCCAAGAAGGAAUAUGAAGAACUCAAGGAGCACUGGUGUGACAGCUUUACACAUUCAUUAAAUCACACUGUGUAAUAUCCUAAAUAUCAAAGCAUCAACACUCCAACCACCAACCAGGGCUUACGAAGAGAAUGAUGAAUGGAUGAGGUCAAGAAGUUUUAAUGAAAUACAAAAACUAGAUAGACACCAGUCCUGAUGAUCACACUUGAUACCAAAAAUCAAUGCAUGAUUUCUGAUUUUUGUUUUAAGUUAAGAGACAACUACCAGUUUUUCAAGAUUUGUUAAAAGUAGUUGUCACAAUUUAUGGUGCUAAUUUAUGCUCAUAUUGUAAAAUCAUUUAAUUUCGUGGACAUGAAAUUUCAUGGUUUUGGUCAAAGGGGUAAUUUCAUGGGGAUACAUAUUCAUGAAUUUCAACUUUUUAACAUGAAACGUGUGGGCAUUUUUAUUGUUCAUUGGGAUUAAAUUUUUUCUUAAUCAACUCUAUGACAAAAUCCACGAAAAUUAGUCCUCUCAUGAAUGUUAAUGAUUUCACAGUAUUGUUUUAUGUAUAAAUAUGUGCUUAUAUAUUCUUUAUUCUAUAUUUAUGCUUGGAGUUGAUGAAACAUUUAGAAGAAUGGAAUAAAUUUUACAUCUA